AUUCAACAAUGCAAAUUAACCAUAAGGUUAGAAUUUUUCAAUUGCAUUCCUCCUGUCAAGAAGAAUCAGGUGGAGGACUUCAGUCAAAUCUGCCCUGGCUUUAGGCAGCUCCUUUAGACUCUAGCAGCCCCUCCAGCUGCUGUUUUUUCUGCUGUGAAAUCUCAGUGAAACUAAUGAGCACCAUACAGGUUAAGACAUCUUCUGGCAACGGUAGUCAUGGAACUAUCUGCUUCUUACUAAAGAUGUAAUGGAGUUGAGGAAGCCAGCGGGAUUCUGCUCAUGAUGCUUUCUAAAGGAUUCAGUCUGUGCACCAGUUUAGCUCUGCUGGAAAUCCUCCCUGCUCCAGCUCAUUGCUCUGGGUUCAAGGACUGCCUAACCACAGGGGCUCCUGCGGUGAAUGGAAACUGCUCAGCAGUCAGGGACACAGAGAGAGGUGUGUAAGAAGUGACAACUUUGGAAACAGUAAUGCUGGUUUGCUACCGUCCUGCAAAGCUCAGCUCUGCCCAGAGUUUGUAGCAGCAGCAGCCAUGAGAAACUCCCCUUUGCUUUAUAAAUGCCAAUCUGGAGCAUCACUUCCAAAAAAAUUCGCUCUGAAGUUCAGUGUCCAAGUCUGAAAAGUAGAAUCCUUAUAUGAAGUAAAUCCUUGUGCCUUACUUAAGAAGAGCAUCCUUAUACUUUCUGGGGUGCCUGCAGUUGUGGUGGUCUGGCUCCUGAGGUGAGGAGUGUGAACUGGAACACACUGGAGACAGGAGAAGAGGAAUUUUGCUGAGGUUCAGCUUUAAGAGUUCUGCUUCAGACCAGAGAGAUUCUGUCUUCAUGGAACUGAGACAGGAAGAUUCCUGCUCCUUUCUUAGUUAACUAAGGAUUCAUAAGGUAGGCAUCCUUGUGUCUGUGACUUCUGAUGUACGCUUGACAUACGCCCAGCACACACUAAGUGAAGACUUUCUCUUCCAAAAUUCAUGCUGGAUUUGUCUUGCUCCUUGUGUAUUACUCAGGCAAUAUGGGAAAAAGAUGGCAUUCAGACUUCUGUACCAAGACCUGAUGGCAUGAGGUUGAGUUUUUAAAACUGUAAUGUACUUUGUAGGAGAAAUGUUCAGCCACAGAUACAUACGUGUACCUUCUAUUUGUUAUAGGUAUUCACUUGUUGAGAUUGGUAGGGGAAAAAAUGUUUAUUGAUUAAUUGAGAUAGUUGGAAAUGUGAGUGGUGAGGUGACUUUAUGGGUCAUAUGGACAUAUGUUCAAUUAGUGGUGUACCUCUGAACUUUUAGCUUAACUUUGUUAAGCUCUUCACCUGAAAGGUAUAUACUGUUAUGACUAUUUUUUACUGAUGGUUUGCCAUAUGACAUUUUACAUUGUGUUGUUUCAUUCUAACUCUGUCGCAAUAAGAUCUAUAAUGGCAUAAAGCUAUUUCCUUAC
rnacentral:lncRNA from 7 species